CUGCCACGACGACGCGGCCAAGUUCCUCCAUCUGCUCAUGAGCCCCGGCUGCAACUACCUGGUGCAGGAGGACUUUGUCCCCUUCUUGCAGGACGUGGUGAACACGCACCCGGGGCUGUCGUUCCUGAAGGAGGCGUCCGAGUUCCACUCGCGCUACAUCACCACGGUCAUCCAGCGGAUCUUCUACGCCGUGAACCGGUCCUGGUCCGGCAGGAUCACCUGCGCCGAGCUGCGGAGGAGCUCCUUCCUGCAGAACGUGGCGCUGCUGGAGGAGGAGGCCGACAUCAACCAGCUGACCGAAUUCUUCUCCUACGAGCACUUCUACGUCAUCUACUGCAAGUUCUGGGAGCUGGACACGGACCACGACCUGCUCAUCGACGCGGACGACCUGGCGCGGCACAAUGACCACGCCAUUUCUACCAAGAUGAUCGACAGGAUCUUCUCAGGAGCAGUCACACGGUACGUACGGCUCAGGCACCUGACGGCAGCCAUUCCCUGCGAGGACCCAGCUCCAUCUCCUCAUCGUUUCCUGACAUGAGCUUGUCGUGUCCCGACAGCGAGUGGCUGUCACCCCAGGCCCCGAGGAGGGGGCCACGACAACGAGUGCCUGUCACCCCAGGCCCCGAGGAGGGGGGCACGUGUCUCUGUGACGUGAAACCCUAUGGGGGGGGUGGUGGCACAAGACUCUGUGUCACGUGAGGUCUGAGGAAGGGGGUGACCCAGGCGCCAGGUCAGGGGUUCUUGUCGGGCGCUGGGCCUGAGUGAGCAGUAAUGAAGGUGCGCUCCUGACCCCGCCUGGAUCUGGGGGAAGCCCUCUGGCCACGUGGCCUCCACCUCCUCCCUGGAGGGGCAGGAGGAGGGCCGGGCCCCGGGGGGCUCCUCUCACCGAGGCAGGUGGGCAGGGGCUCCAUUCCUGUGAAGUUCUCCCUGAUGUGCAUCUUCGCCUCUCCAUCCUGGCCUUGGAUCUAGAGGCAGAAAAGUGCAGAAGGAAGGGAGGAUCAGCUACGCCGACUUUGUCUGGUUUUUGAUCUCUGAGGAAGACAAAAAAACACCAACCAGCAUCGAGUACUGGUUCCGCUGCAUGGACCUAGAUGGGGACGGCGCCCUGUCCAUGUUCGAGCUCGAGUACUUCUACGAGGAGCAGUGCCGAAGGCUGGACAGCAUGGCCAUCGAGGCCCUGCCCUUCCAGGACUGCCUCUGCCAGAUGCUGGACCUGGUCAAGCCGAGGACCGAAGGGAAGAUCACGCUGCGGGACCUGAAGCGCUGCAAGCUGGCCAACGUCUUCUUCGACACCUUCUUCAACAUCGAGAAGUACCUCGACCAUGAGCAGAAAGAGCAGAUCUCCCUGCUCAGGGUGAGUGCGGUGGGCACGCGGGCGGGGCCGCACCUGCUGCGUACGUAACCUGUGUGCUUCCUCCAGGACGGUGACAGCAGCGGCCCCGAGCUCUCGGACUGGGAGAAGUACGCGGCCGAGGAGUACGACAUCCUGGUGGCUGAGGAGACUGCGGGAGAGCCCUGGGAGGACGGGUGAGUGGGGAGACGGGUGAGUGGGGGACGGGUGAGUGCGGGGACGGGUGAGUGCGGGGACGGGUGAGUGCGGGGACGGGUGAGUGCGGGGACGGGUGAAUGUGCAGCUGGGGGGAUGCAGGGCCAGUCAGGUGGGGCGCGUGGACACGGCAGGGUGGGGUGAGACCUGACACGGGGCCGGUGAGUAAGGACAGCCGAUGACAGGGGCGGGCCUCGGUGCAGCCUCCCUGCGGCACCACCUGUUUACCGCAGCUCGGUGGCGGGACCCGGGAGCCCCCCGCCCAUCGCCCCCUGCGUGGGGUUUUGUGAUCCUGGGUCCGAGGCUUCGCACAUCAGGCCAAGCAUGGGGAGGCCGAGUCAAGACGCAUUUCGCCAGCAAUGUCUGUCCUUAGCCCACGGCUGCCACCUGCUGGGGAGGCUGCAGGGCCCGUGGCCAUUCCGGGGCCCACUUCGGCCUUCCAGCCUCGGAGGCCCCAAGAGGCAAUGGGCUGGUUGCUUUCUCACGGAGUGUGAGGGUUCUUCGGGUCUUCAGGAUACAGGCCCUUUAUUUGCGACGUGUUCGCCUUUUCCCAGUUUGUGACGUAUGUUUUCACCCUCUUCACGUCGUGUCUCAGAGAUGUUCUGAAUUUAGAGGAAGACACGCUGACUGGUUAUUUUUACAGCUGUGUUUUUGGUGUCGUGUCUAAGAAUUCAUUCCUGAAUCCAAAGCCACAAAGAUUUUCCUCCGCGAUGUUUUGCAUUUUGGUCUGGGGUGUGCUUGAGUAACCUUCCUGUGAGGUGUGAAGCUCGGAUUCAGGUUCCCCUUGUAGGUGGGUGUGUCCGACUGUCCCAGCACCAGCUUUGCAAGGCUGCAGCGUCGCCUCGGCACCGUGAUUGUGCCGUGUGCGGGCUCCGUUCCUGAACCUUCCUCCGUUCCACGGCCGCACGCGUCCGUCCGUUCCCGCUGCAGAGCUGACUGCAGUGAGAAGCCUCCAACUUGGGUGCCGUGUGGAACUGUCGGGGCCAUUCUGGUGUUUGGCUGCCUGUGUGAAUCUUAGACUCAGCCCGUCCGUGCUCUGCCGUCCUGUGGGAAUGUGUGUUGGACUGUGACGUCGUGGUGAGCGCUGGUCCUGUGACCACGUAGACUCUGGUCCUCACCAGCCUCCCGUGGUGCACGCUGGAGCGAUGUGGUCACUUUUGCCAUCCUGUGCUGGGCUUCUCGAUGCUCUUCUGUCCCGCGCUAUGGCGGCUAUUCUGGUUUCUUUGCCUUUGUAUGAAAACACGUAAGAAUAAGCUCCUUCUGGCCGGGCGCGGUGGCUCACGCCUGUAAUCCCAGCACUUUGGGAGGCCGAGGGGGGUGGAUCACAAGGUCAGGAGAUCGAGACCUUCCUGGCUAACACGGUGAAACCCCGUCUCUACUAAAAUACAAAAAAAAAAAAAAGAAAGAAAGAAAAAUGAGCCGGGCGUGGUGGCGGGCGCCUGUAGUCCCAGCUACUCGGGAGGCUGAGGCAGGAGAAUGGCGGGAACCCGGGAGGCGGAGCUUACAGUGAGCCGAGAUCACGCCACUGCACUGCAGCCUGGGUGACAGAGUGAGACUCCGUCUCAAAAAAAAAAAAAAAGGCCCGGGAUGGUGGCUCAUGCCUGUGAUCCCAGCUACUCGGGAGGUGGAGGUUGCAGUGAGCCAAGAUCGUGCCACCGCACUCCAGCCUGGGCAACAAGAAGGAAACUCCAUCUCAAAAAAAAAAAAACACAGAAUCUGAACUUGUGACGACAUCUCGCUGAGCGAAUGGAUCCCUGUGGGCCCAGCUGCCGUGUUCAUAGCCGCGGGAGGCCCAGUCCACAGGCGCCGUCCGUGUUUCUCGGCAGGAUUUUUGUAGCUUUCUGUGUAGACUUGAUGUGAAUGUUGUGGGACUUGUAUUCGAGUGUUUCUGAGGUUUUGCUGUGGUCAACGCUACUUUUAAGGUGCCCGUUUCCAGUUGUUCGUUGGUAGCAUAUAGAAUUUAUUGACCUUGUGUUUUGCGACUUUAUGAAACACACUUACUAGAUCUCAAAGCUCUCUGUCGGUUCUUUGGGGUUUUCUCCGUGGACAGCCCAUGCCUGUCAGUGGGUUUGUUUCUCGUCUUCCUUUUCACCCCUGUGUACAUUACUUUCUUUUCACCCCUGUGUACGUCACUUUCUCUUGCCCGAUGCACGGCCUGGAACCCGCAGGCUGAUGUGGACGUCAGGGCAGACCACGCCCAGCCUUGAGUGAGCCUUGAGUGAGGUUUGUGUGCCGCCCUCGUUCCCAGUCCUGGGGGACGUCUCCCCUCACGCAGCGGUAAACACGCUCAUUGGCGAGGAUGUUCCGGCCUGUGCCUGGUCUGCGGAGGGUUUCCCACAGUGGGGGCCGCGUUUUCUCAGAUGCUGUUGCUCCGUGGUUCCUGUGUCUGCCCAUACAGCGAGUUACAGCGAGUCAUUUUCAGCCAGCCUUGUGUUCCCAGGAUAGAUCUGAGUCGUAUGUUAUCCUUACAUAUUAUUGGGUUGUCUUUGCAGAGAUCAUCUGUAGUAUUUUAUUAUUUUUUUUGAGACAGGGUCUUGCUCUGUCACCCAGGCUAGAGGGCGGUGGUGUGAUCUCGGCUCACUGCAACCUCCGCCUCCCGGGUUCAAGCGAUGCUCCUGCCUCAGCCUCCGUAGUAGCUGGGAUGACAGGCAUCUGCCACCAUGCCUGGCUAAUUUUUGUGUUUUUAGUAGAGAUGGGGUUUCGCCAUGUUGGCCAGGCUGGUCUCGAACUCCUGACCUCAGGUCAUCCGCCCGCCUCGGCCUCUCACAGUGCUGGGUUGAGUGAGCUUUGCUGGUUUGUGUGUUGCAGAAACUUGCCCAUUCACAUCAGUGAGUUAUUGCUGGUAUUUCCUGCUUGUGACAUUAACGUCUGCAGAGUCCGCAGUGAUGGCGUCUCUCACGCUGCUGAUACCGACGUGUCUGUGUGUGGUCAGUGAGGCGAGGGGACGGUGAGGUUCCCUGAACUUCUCAAGGAACCACAACCACCACUGGUUUUUCUCCCCUUUGUUCUGCUGUUUCCCUUCUCUCGAGUAUCUUCAGGCAGCAACUUGGGCCACUGACACCGCAGCCCGGCCUUCUCGUUUUGCUGCAGCUCAAAAUACUUUCUGGUUACCAUUUGGUUCCCGACCCACAGGUUCCACGGACGUGCAUUUUAACCCCUGCUCCCCCAUCAGCCGCCCCGUCCGAUUCCUGCCAAGCAGCACGGGGCCCCCGCGGCCCACCCUGGGCCGUCUGUCCUGUGUGUCCGUCCUCCUCGUGGUCAUCGUUUGCACAGUGGCUGCGACCUGGCAGCCAACCUCUGGGUCCCCACUCCCCACAGCUUCCCAGACGCUGCUGGCCACGUCUUCACUGUCCUCUUGUUGCAGGUUCGAGGCCGAGCUCAGCCCUGUGGAGCAGAAGCUGAGUGCGCUGCGGUCCCCACUGGCCCAGAGGACCUUCUUCGAGGCGCCCUCGCCCCUGGGCGCCAUGGACCUGUACGAGUAUGCGUGCGGGGACGAGGACCUGGAGCCACUGUGACACCACCUGUGAGAACGCUGCCACGGGGCCACGCCACACAUGCCACGGCCACCACCAGGACUCCUGUAAAAACUGUUGUCUUUUGUGGAAAAUGAGUGCGUUUGUAUGGAAUGAUAAAUUUUUAUUUAUUCAC
rnacentral:sRNA from 1 species